UACAGAGGAGCCAAGCGUUGUCCGGAUUGACUGGGCGUAAAGCGCACGCAGGCGGAUGCGCGCGUGGGGUGGUGAAAUCUGGCCGCUUAACGGCCAGGCGGCCAUCCCAUACGGCGCGUCUGGAGUGAUGCAGAGGUCGAUGGAAUUGCCGGUGUAGUGGUGAAAUGCGUAGAUAUCGGAAGGAACACCAGUGGCGAAAGCGGCUUCCUGGUCCAGCACCGACGUCAGGCACGGAAAGCGUGGGGAGCAAACAGG
rnacentral:rRNA from 1 species